GUGUCUAUGGGAGUUUAUUUGCAGGUAUGCACCCUAUAGACCGAGGUUUCGAAACAGCUUGCAUGCUGCCAAUCGAGCGACACAUGAGGGCAGCAUUCAACAACAACAUAAACACGCGACUCGUGUAAAUCUGCCGCUACCCGUAUUCUUCUGACUCUGGUCUGAGUGGCUGAAAACUUUCUUAUUUAUUAGUAUUACGUCAGUAUCAGUACUACAAGUUUGUUUUCAUUAAAGCUGCCAAGAAGAUAAGGAGGAGGCAUUGAAAGUACUCAACGGACACAAAUGGAAAGGACAAGUGCUCAAAGCCAAGGUUAAACAACACAGUGACUCCACUAUGGAACCAGCUGUAUGAGGACCAGCUAUCCACCAAACAGACCAACACCAGGGAGUGUUUUGUCUUGAUGCAUGGCCAGUGCAUGGAAGGACGGCAACCGGCAUGUCGGGUGUGUUCAGGGUCUGUGACUGAUUCCUAUUCGGUUAAACAACACGGUGACUCCACUGUGGAACCAGCCGUAUGAGGACCAGCUUUCCACCAAACAGACCAACACCAGGGAGUUUCUGAGGAAUUUAUCCAAGAUGCUGCAAUGGAACAUUGGGGAGAUGUCUCCCUGGCUGAAGCAACAAAGCUUACCAAGCCAGUUGAGGACCUGUACACUAAGAGCCUCGCUCUGAAGAGAAGCCAAGAGGAAUCUGAUGAAAACACCCAAGAAGCUGAGAGGAGGAAGGAGGAGGACAGCUGACCAGUAGAAGAGAGGUUAAACAACAUGGUGACUCCACUGUGGAACCAGCCGUAUGAGGACCAGCUAUCCACCAAACAGACCAACACCAGGGAGUUUCUGAGGAAUUUAUCCAAGAUGCUGCAACGGAACAUUGGGGAGAUGUCUUCCUGGCUGAAGCAA